GCAUAUCAAUAAGCGGAGGAAAAGAAACCAACAGGGAUUGCCCUAGUAACGGCGAGUGAAGCGGCAACAGCUCAAAUUUGAAAUCUGGCUUUCGGGCCCGAGUUGUAAUUUGUAGAGGAUACUUUUGAUGCGGUGCCUUCCGAGUUCCCUGGAACGGGACGCCAUAGAGGGUGAGAGCCCCGUCUGGUUGGAUGCCAAAUCUCUGUAAAGUUCCUUCGACGAGUCGAGUAGUUUGGGAAUGCUGCUCUAAAUGGGAGGUAUAUGUCUUCUAAAGCUAAAUAUUGGCCAGAGACCGAUAGCGCACAAGUAGAGUGAUCGAAAGAUGAAAAGCACUUUGAAAAGAGAGUUAAAAAGUACGUGAAAUUGUUGAAAGGGAAGCGUUUAUGACCAGACUUGGACUUGGUCAAUCAUCUGGGGUUCUCCCCAGUGCACUUUUCCAGUUCAGGCCAGCAUCAGUUUUCGCCGGGGGAUAAAGGCUUCGGGAAUGUAGCUCUCUUCGGGGAGUGUUAUAGCCCGUUGUGUAAUACCCUGGCGGAGACUGAGGUUCGCGCUUCUGCAAGGAUGCUGGCGUAAUGGUCAUCAACGACCCGUCUUGAAACACGGACCAAGGAGUCGUCUUCGUAUGCGAGUGUUCGGGUGUCAAACCCCUACGCGUAAUGAAAGUGAACGCAGGUGAGAGCUUCGGCGCAUCAUCGACCGAUCCUGAUGUUCUCGGAUGGAUUUGAGUAAGAGCAUACGGGGCCGGACCCGAAAGAAGGUGAACUAUGCCUGUAUAGGGUGAAGCCAGAGGAAACUCUGGUGGAGGCUCGCAGCGGUUCUGACGUGCAAAUCGAUCGUCAAAUAUGGGCAUGGGGGCGAAAGACUAAUCGAACCUUCUAGUAGCUGGUUUCCGCCGAAGU
rnacentral:rRNA from 1 species